rnacentral:lncRNA from 1 species
UAGCUUCGCAUAGCCCCGCCCCAGGGCGCGCGCAGGAAGCGGUGCGGACACGCGCGGCGCGGCCCCGCGGGGAAGCGUCCGCGACCCUCGUUCGGGCGUCCUUGACCUGCCUCAGGCGAGGCUGCGUCCCGAGAGCCCUCCUGCCUUCGCCGCCCGCCUCGCGGACCUCCGGGCUCUGGUCGAGGCCGCCGCCCGCGGUGCCCGGAUGUCGCGGGCUUAAAGGGCCAGUGCCGCGCAGCCGCCGCGACGUGCGCUCCGAGCGAGCGGGCGGCCCGGGCAGCCUGAGGAGGCCCGGCUUCCGCAGCCGGCCGGUCCCUGUGAUUGGCGGAGGCGUCCAGAAUGCUGCACGUCGUAGGUUCCGCCUUUGCCGGGUCAAAAUGGUGCGGGCGAGGCCCUGCACUGGACGGCCCGGGCCUGGCGAUCGGGGACCCUAGAAAGGGAACGCUAAGUUGUUUGAGAUCGCGGAUAGGGGCGAUGGCGUCGAGGUGCGGUUUAAAAAUUAUACGGUCCUCAACAGGAAAAAUAAAAUUGUUGUGUUCGACAUUAAAGAUUUCUUUUAAAAUGGAUAUUAAGGGAUUUCACAAGGGCCAACUUGUAAAAACAACUCGUUUUGUCUUUAAGGUUAAUUAGAACCUGUGACAGUUCGUUUAAUUAAGCAAAAUUAACUAGUCUAUUAAAAAAAGUGUGUGCGUGUGUGUGUGUGGUGUAGAUAUAGAAGAAGGUUUAUUUCUUAAUGCUUGUUUUCUACGUGGGUAAAAUUGAAAUGAGACCGAAUAGCUUUCCGAGUUUGUUUAUACUGUUAAAAUACCUUGAUUCUGAUUCUAGAUUUAAAAUUUUAAGAUGUCCUUUUGUGUCUGAAAUCCUUAGAACAGGUGAGACUUUUCAAAAAAACCCUUGAAAUGACACUUAUUGUAUUGUUUUUGAAAAAAUUUAUAUGGAAUUUGUUUUAAUCGUGUUUCUAAUCAUUUAAGUCCAAUAUUGGAAUAAAGGGAAAUUAGAAAGUACCGAAGCUUGAAGAGUAGCCCCGUUUCUGAGCAAAGUGAAAGGAUUUUCUUUUACCCUAAAGACGUCUCCUAGGUGCUGGAACAAUAAGAUAAAGAAUAGUUUAGGGCCGGGCGUGGUGGUGCACGCCUUUAAUCCCAGCACUCAGGAGGCAGAGGCAGGCAGAUUUCUGAGUUCGAGGCCAGCCUGGUCUACAGAGUGAGUGUCAGGACAGCCAGGGCUACACAGAGAAACCCUGUCUCGAAAAAAACAAAAAACAAAACAAAACAAAAGAAUAGUUUAGAUAGAACACUGACUAAUAACAAGGUAUGGUAUGUCUGUAUGAAAUGCGAUAAUGAAACUUGACACUGUGCCUCCUAACUUCAUAAAUUAAUAAAAGUGACUACUUUUUCUAUUUUUACUCCAAGUAUCAAAGUAGUAGAUUUUAUUUAAAAUGAAGGAGUGAAAAGACAAUGAAGAAAAAGAGAAACACAGGAAAUAAGAUAUGAAUAAAUGGAAAAUGUUCAGAGAACUUAGGAUAAAUUCAGUAUUUGCUUAUCAAGAAACUGGAUAGAGGAAAAUUACUCUGAAGUUAAAACAGGCUUGUAUGAAAUGGUGUUUUAGCUUCAUGCCUUCUUCAAAAUAUAAAAUAACUGGUUUCAUUUAAUUGAAUACUCAAUGAGAAUUAAAGACAUGGAAAUGACAAAAGCAGGAACAGAAGCCUCCAGAAAAGAAGAUGAAGUUAAUGACACGCUUCAUUUCAAGAGACAUGAGCUCAUUUCCUGUUAGAGGGAUUCCUCCCAAAUGAGGUUUGGUGCUAAAUAAAUUUAUUUUACAGACCUUCCUUAAAUCUGUGCUGGGGGGUGGGAGGAGACGGAAAUGGAAAAUGGAAGCGAUAAGAAAUGUAAGGGAAAAUGUAAAAGAUUGCAGCUUCCUUUAAUGGCAGCCCUGGCCACUGCUGCCACCGCUGCUACCUCCUCCCCCCUCCUCCCCCCUCCUCCCCCCUCCUCCUCCCCCCCCCCCCUCCUCCUCGGCCAUUACAGUAUAGGGAUAAAAAAGCUGAGUGGGUAAUGGAAUGGCUCAGUGGGUAAAGUCACCUGCUACCAAGUCUGGUAGUCUCAGUUUGACUCUCAGGACUCACAUGGGAGAAGAGAAAAUGGAGUCUUCUAAACUUGUUCUCUCUUCCACAUGCUCACCAUGUCAGAAGAAGUGUUAUAUUCCUGGAACUGGACUUACAAAUGGCUUGUGAACUGCAGUGGGAGUGCUGGGAAUUGAACCUGGGUCCUUUGGAAGAGCAACCAGCUCCCCAAAUAGUGUUUUAAAACCAGCUGAUACUGGCUAGAGAGAUGGCUCAGUGGUUAAGACCACUGACUGCUCUUCCAGAGGUCCUGAGUUCAAUUCCCAGCAACCACAUGGUGGCUCACAACCAUCUGUAAUGGGAUCUGAUGUCCUCUCCUGGUAUGUCUGAAGACAACUACAGUGUACUCAUAUGCAUAAAAUAAGUAAAAAAAAAAAAAUCAGUUGGGACACA